AAAUCAAAAUUUAGAAUUUGACCUUGACCUUUGACCUUGACCUAAUUUUCAUUUUUUUGGACCAAGGAUCUUAAAUCUAAAGACCCUAGGUCUCUAUCACUAAUGGUUUACCAGUUAGAAAUGCAAAUCACUUAUAUCAUAUAUAAAAGGGGGGAUAACUCUCAUAUGGAGUCUCCAGAUAGCUUCGGUCAAAAUAAAACAGAUCAUCCUGAGGAUAUAACGAGCAAUUUGGAAAAAUAAAUUUGUCGCUUUCUUUUACGUUGCGAAGCCUUAGUGGCCACAAGAAAAACAGUGUUUGGGGAGAUAACUCUUACAAGGUAAAGGUUUUUGUUACGCGGUGUCAGUUUCAGAAGCGCAUUAACUGUUCGAUAUCAUAUACCAUAUAUCUAAGCGACAUCUUGUGAAACAAAAAAACAGCGAAGGAAAAAAAAGUUGGCGGAAA
rnacentral:lncRNA from 1 species